rnacentral:rRNA from 1 species
GAUGAACGCUGGCGGCGUGCCUAAUACAUGCAAGCCGAGCGAAUGGAUUAAGAGCUUGCUCUUAUGAAGUUAGCGGCGGACGGGUGAGUAACACGUGGGUAACCUGCCCAUAAGACUGGGAUAACUCCGGGAAACCGGGGCUAAUACCGGAUAACAUUUUGAACCGCAUGGUUCGAAAUUGAAAGGCGGCUUCGGCUGUCACUUAUGGAUGGACCCGCGUCGCAUUAGCUAGUUGGUGAGGUAACGGCUCACCAAGGCAACGAUGCGUAGCCGACCUGGGAGGGUGAUGGGCCAGACUGGGACUGAGACACGGCCCAGACUCAUACGGGAGGCAGCAGUAGGGAAUCUUCCGCAAUGGACGAAAGUCUGACGGGGCAACGCCGCGUGAGUGAGGAAGGCUUUCGGGUCGUAAAACUCUGUUGUUAGGGAAGAACAAGUGCUAGUUGAAUAAGCUGACACCUUGACGGUACCUAACCAGAAAGCCACGGCUAACUACGUGCCAGCCGCCGCCGUAA